ACUGAGGAGUCCCAUAAUAGGACGAAACGGACGUCC
rnacentral:hammerhead_ribozyme from 1 species